rnacentral:rRNA from 1 species
AACUAACGCUGGCGGCGUGCCUAACACAUGCAAGUCGUACGAGAAAGUUGGCUUCGGCCGAUGAGUACAGUGGCGCACGGGUGAGUAACGCGUGGAUAAUCUGCCCUUAAGUGUGGAAUAACGUACCGAAAGGUGCGCUAAUACCGCAUAAUGCCUGGCAACAUAAGUUGUCCGGCCAAAGAAGGCCUCUGCUUGCAAGCUUUCGCUAAAGGAUGAGUCCGCGUACCAUUAGCUAGUUGGUGGGGUAACGGCCUACCAAGGCGACGAUGGUUAGCUGGUCUGAGAGGAUGAUCAGCCACACUGGAACUGAGACACGGUCCAGACUCCUACGGGAGGCAGCAGUGAGGAAUAUUGGGCAAUGGGGGAAACCCUGACCCAGCGACGCCGCGUGGGUGAAGAAAUCCUUCGGGAUGUAAAGCCCUGUUGUAUGGGAAGAGCGGAAGACGGUACCAUACGAGGAAGCCCCGGCAACUACGUGCCAGCAGCCGCGGUAAUCUCGU